rnacentral:rRNA from 1 species
CCUACGGGAGGCUGCAGUGGGGAAUAUUGGACAAUGGGGGCAACCCUGAUCCAGCCAUGCCGCGUGUGUGAAGAAGGCCCUCGGGUUGUAAAGCACUUUCAGUGAGGAAGAACGCCUGGUGGUUAAUACCCAUCAGGAAAGACAUCACUCACAGAAGAAGCACCGGCUAACUCCGUGCCAGCAGCCGCGGUAAUACGGAGGGUGCGAGCGUUAAUCGGAAUUACUGGGCGUAAAGCGUGCGUAGGUGGCUUGAUAAGCCGGUUGUGAAAGCCCCGGGCUCAACCUGGGAACGGCAUCCGGAACUGUCAAGCUAGAGUGCAGGAGAGGAAGGUAGAAUUCCCGGUGUAGCGGUGAAAUGCGUAGAGAUCGGGAGGAAUACCAGUGGCGAAGGCGGCCUUCUGGACUGACACUGACACUGAGGUGCGAAAGCGUGGGUAGCAAACAGGAUUAGAUACCCCAGUAGUC